CCCUUAGAUGUUCUGGGCCGCACGCGCGCUACACUGAUGAAUUCAACGAGCACUAACCUGUGCAGAAAUGUUCGGGUAAUCUUGUGAAAUUUCAUCGUGAUGGGGAUUGAUUAUUGCAAUUAUUAAUCAUAAACGAGGAAUGCCUAGUAAGCGUGAGUCAUCAGCUCACGUUGAUUACGUCCCUGCCCUUUGUACACACCGCCCGUCGCUCCUACCGAUUGAAUGUGCUGGUGAAAAGUUCGGAUUGGGAAUAGGAGACGGCAACGUAUCCUGUUUCUGGGAAAAUCUUUAAACCCUCCCAUUUAGAGGAAGGAGAAGUCGUAACA
rnacentral:rRNA from 1 species